UGAAGACGGGGAAGAUCCAUCAUGACCUUCUCACAGUGGAUUGAGAAUGAACCGAAGGAAAAGUGGGCAUUACUCUUUGAUGACGGAGGUGCACGGUGGGGUAUAAUGACGACAAACCUUGCUGAGGUUUACAACUUGGUCCUGUGCGGUAUUCGUGGCCUGCCCCUUGUUGGUAUUGUUGAAUUUUACCUUUACUGCACCAUAGUAUUUCAGGGAAAGGUACCAAUUGGCUGAUAACUCAAUGCGUGACAACCACAUAAUAUUUGGGUACAAGAUGAUAGAGUACAUGGAGG
rnacentral:lncRNA from 1 species